UGCACUUCGGGGAAAUAUCUCCAAAGGAGCCACCUCAUCUGUGUUGGGAUUGAGUUGCAUCUAGAACAGACUCCUUGGCCACUUUCUUCUACUCCCUAGGCUUUCUGAAAGCAUCUGAAUGUCUGUCCAACUGCAAGCUACGUCAUGGAAACAGGACCGCCCUGAGGGGCUCUCCAAUAUGAAUGCCAGGGCUGCCAGAUUCCACAGACAAGAAUAAAGGGCAUCCAGUGAAUUCUGAAUUUCAGAGAAGCAGCAUUUUUUUCAUUAAAAGUGGAUGAAGUUUUGUGUUUGCUCUACUGACCUGAAGUGAGGAACAACCACAUACAUCUUUGUCUUCACUCUGUCCAGCUGUCAACUGCAUUGUUCCCUCACGUCUUCCUGCAAAGUACCAUUAUUUCCACACCUUAAGAAUUAAAGAGUGAAGAGAAAACGACAAAAUGUUCUUGUUUAUCAGGAGAUGGGGGUGAGCUGAGCUUUCCACAAGGUCCUGAAUGGAUGAGAAGGACCCAAAACAUAUGGAAAAUAUGGAGA
rnacentral:lncRNA from 1 species